GGUACAUAUGCUUAUGCAGCAUUUUUGUUAUAGCCAUUUUAAAUUCAAAGGGAUUGUAUGAUUCAUCAGUAAGAUAUGGCCUGGCUCUUGGUGUCACAAGUAGGGUGUCCGCGUUUAAAAAUAAACACAGAGCUCAGAAUUGACUUAAAACCAUCGCAUGAUGUUCUCAGUUUGGUACUUGAUGUGGAAAACCAUGUACAUUUUUUACAGGUAUAUGUGUAUAAAGAUGUAGAUGUGUGCCUUAGGUUUUGAUUAUUAUCAGCACUAAUGUAAGGAGAAUCCAGAACAAAAUCAAAGUUAUUUACCGUUCUACUUUCAAAAAUCCCAGGUCUUUUGGUAUCUAAAUAUAUGUGAGAGUGUUAAGACUCCAUAUUGGAAAGUGGACAGAUGAGAACAUCUCUUGAGACUAUGACUGAGCUGUGCCAUGUUGUUUAGCAACGUUCUGUUGAUAAGUAGGGGAAAAAAACAAAACUGUGCUACUUACGUCCACAAUAAGGACAGAAAUUUGUAAGAAAGAUAACAGCUUUUUGGCUCAUCUAUUUUAUACACUUGAUAUUGCGUUAAAGAUUUCACAGAUGCAGCAUACCUGUCGUGGUUUUGUAAUUUUGCUAUUGGUAUUCCACAUCAUAACAUCAUGGACAAGAGAGAAGAAGAACUACGUAUCCCAGAGGACCUCACGGUCAGAGAAGGAAGAUACAUCAUGGAAGAUACGUCAUCUGGUUGCGCACGGUCUUUCGCUUUUGCUUGCUGCCAGGGAGAGGAGUGGGUGUGCUUCCAAGCCGUGCGCCUUCAUCAAGGCUGAUCUGCAAAUUUUGUCAAGACAAAGAAAUGGGGAGUGAAUCUACAGAAUUACUGUCUAGACCUGAGGUCUCAUUUAUUCUGUGUGAAGGAAAGCUAAAGAGGGAGGACCAUGACCCAUCACAUGAAGAGAUGCUGACAGAUGUAAGGGAAUGUGUGUGGACAUUUGGUUAUUCUGUGAUGGUGAAAGUAAGUUGGCUGAUGAGGCCAAUCCAGUUGCUGUAUCAUUCUCACAUUUAGAACUUGUUUGGAAAGGACAGAGGAACAAAGAUUCCAGCAAGAAACAAAAACUACUCGACUACUAUCUUCUCAGUGUUUCUCUUCAAAAGAAAAAUUCAAGACAGGAUGUUAACUGAUUGACAGAAGCCUUGUCAAAAAGUGUGGUGAAUUCUGGAAUACUCUUAAAUAAUUCUUUUUGGGAAUGGUUUUAUUUGCAAGCACAGAUCUUAGUACCUCUGUCGUUCACACAGCUCACCUGAAAAUCCUAUGUAUCAGACUAUGACUACUCAAUGGGAUUCUUUAUGUGAAAAAAGUGGGUGGUCUUUGUCCCUUCCAAUGUCUGUGUAUCUAUCAUAGGAUGUGCACCAUAGAUGCUACUGAGAGAAAGUGACACACAUUUUUGUGAACAGCUUUGAAGGUCUACUUGUAGCACAUUUAUCAAGAUGUCAGCAACACUAAUGUACUGUCAGUAGAAAUUACUGGACUUAUGUUAUUUAAAGAAUAACUACAGCCAGUCCAACUUUUAGCUAAAAGUUUUUCAGCGAAAAACAUUCCUUUUAUUGAAUCUGCUUCCUUUGAAAACAAUUCCAGUUUUUCUAAAAUACAUGUAUAUGUAUAUAUUCCUUUGUAGUUAUUACGUUUAUAUAGAUUGUUACUUGACAAUAUAAGUUGUGUAAUACAUAGCAAUCUCUUCACAGGCAUAUUAUACAAACGCUGGGCUAUUCAACCCAUUUUGCUCCCACUAAGGUAAUAAUAAUGGACAUUUAAAAAUCAUUAAUGAUAGUGGGCACAUAGCAGUGACACAUUUUUUUUUUACAGCAAAUAUACACAUUCAUUUAAUGUAAAUGAAUUAGAAACAGAUACUUAAAUAGGAGAAUCUAGACCCUCUACUGACUUGAAAUUACUUUAAUGCUGUUCAUCAUUUCUUUGCAAAUUUUUAUGUCUCUGAAACUCCAAAUGGGAACAAAAAAUUUAGCACAUAGCUUAUUCCUAGCCCCACAUAGACUCAACAUCUUACCAAGCAACAAAUAACUUUUUUGUUUGUUUGUUUUUACAAGAUUUCCUCUAUGGUAGAUUUAUAUUGCACUAGGCAAACACAGAUGGGUAUGAAAUUGCUAUGUGAAAACAUCAGUCGAAAGUUUACUGUGUCCCACGUCAGGAGGGCAUAGUGCUUUCCUGACGAUUUAUUUCUUUUCAAUUGAGAAAAACUCAUGAUUUGGAAACAACUGUUUUAAUGCAGUUGUGCGACUGGAUGAUUUUUGUAAACUUAACUGGCCAGAUAUUCUACAUCAUAUAUUCCCUCAAUCUUAUUCCAGCUGAGUGCAGCCAAAGAGAAUUUAAAAUAUAAAAGAAAUACAAGGACAUGACAGGAUGUUAUGGAUUAGUCCCUCAAUCCAUUCACUGAGCAGGGUAAUAAAAAUGACUGGAAAUAGUUGCAAAUCUGCAUAUAAAAGGUAAGCAUUGACAUCUAGGCAGUUCUAGAAAAAAUCUGUGUUUCAGACUUAUUUAAAGAGAAGAACCGGAAAAAGCCCACACAGAGAGAAAAAACAACAACAACCACAACAACAAAACCAACAAAAAAUGAGACUGUGAUCAAAAACUUGAAAAGUAAACCACAGCUGCCUAACGAAUUCUCCACAGUGUGCUGCACUCCCUGAGGCCUUAAAUUAUUAUCAACCUUAGGAAACUGUGUGGACAGUUAAUAAAAAAUUUGUAAUGUUUGGCAGGCAUUAUAUAGUAUCAUAGAAUCACAGAAUGGAUGUGAUUUUCAAAUUGAAGGGAUUUUUAAAGGUCGUCUAGUCCAACUUCCCUGCAAUAUACAGGGACAUCUACAGCUGCACCAGACUGCUCAGAGGUCUGUCCAGCCUGACCUUGAAUGUCUUCAGGUAUGGGGCAUGCACCACCUCUCCAGGCAAGCUGUUCCAAUGCCUCACCACUCUCACUGUAAAAUACUUUUUCCUUAUAUCCCAUCUAAGUCUCCCCUCUUGUUGUUUGAAACCAUUUCCUCUUGUCUUAUCAUAACAGACUUUGCUAAAGAGUCUGUCCCCUUCUUUCUUGUAGCUCCUCUUGACACACUGAAAGGCUGAUCUCAGGUCUCUCCAGAGCUAUAUUGGCACGUGUAGAUUUAUGGAUGUUCAGGUUCCUCAGGUGGUCACAAACGUGAUCUCCGCGUACAGUAGGAGGAACAUUCAUUCCUCAGUGCCCACUCUCUUACGCAUCCACUUGAGGGGUAUGUGAAGAGCAGUUGCCAGUGAAAAGUGAGGCAAAAGAAGUUGUUGAGUCCCUCAGCCUUCUUGUUCAUUGUUACCAGCGUGUUUAUAUUGCACGCUAGGGUGGAUAUACCCUCCUGGACUUUCCUUUUUCUGGCUAAUGUAACUAUAGAAGCAUUUAAUGUUCUUCUUUUCACCCCUUACCAAGUCCAGUUCCAAAUGGACCUUUGUCUUCCUGGCCUUGUCCAUACACAGCUUAGCAGCAACUCUAUGCUCCUCCCAGGAUACCUCUCCUUGCUUCCACUGCCUGUGCAUUUUCUUCGUGCCCUCCAGUUUGACCAGCAGGUCCCUGUUCAGCCAAUCUGGUCUCUUGCCUUCCUUUCCUAACUUACUAUACAUGGGGAUGGAGAGUUCUUGUGCCCCAAGGAAAGCUUUCUUAAAGAUCUGACAGCUCUGCAUUUCUCCCUGGUCCUCGAGGGUUUUGUUGUCUAACUCCCUGAAGUACAGGACUUCGGCUUUCCUAAAAUUUGACAUCUUGAUUUUACUCUUCGACAGUCUGAUAUCCCUAGGGAUUGUGAGCUCUACCUUUGCAUGGUCACUACAGCCCAGAUACUAUAAGUUUUCAAGCUUAUAGCAAUAUUUUAGAAGAUGUAGAAG